AACGAACGCUGGCGGCAGGCCUAACACAUGCAAGUCGAGCGAGGACUUCGGUCCUAGCGGCGGACGGGGGGGAAAGCGGGGGGAAGGGGCCUUUGGUUUCGAAUAGCCCUUGGAAAAUGGGAAGAAUAACGGGAGAAGCCUUUGGGGGAAAGGUUUAACGGCGAAGGAUCGGCCCGCGUUGGAUUAGGUAGUUGGUGGGGUAAUGGCCUACCAAGCCGACGAUCCAUAGCUGGUUUGAGAGGAUGAUCAGCCACACUGGGACUGAGACACGGCCCAGACUCCUACGGGAGGCAGCAGUGGGGAAUCUUAGACAAUGGGGGAAACCCUGAUCUAGCCAUGCCGCGUGAGCGAUGAAGGCCUUAGGGUUGUAAAGCUCUUUCAGCUGGGAAGAUAAUGACGGUACCAGCAGAAGAAGCCCCGGCUAACUCCGUG
rnacentral:rRNA from 1 species